rnacentral:rRNA from 1 species
UGGGGAAUUUUGGACAAUGGACGCAAGUCUGAUCCAGCCAUGCCGCGUGCGGGAAGAAGGCCUUCGGGUUGUAAACCGCUUUUGUCAGGGAAGAAACGAGUUUCUCUAAUACAGAGACUUAAUGACGGUACCUGAAGAAUAAGCACCGGCUAACUACGUGCCAGCAGCCGCGGUAAUUCGUAGGGUGCAAGCGUUAAUCGGAAUUACUGGGCGUAAAGCGUGCGCAGGCGGUUAUGCAAGACAGAUGUGAAAUCCCCGGGCUCAACCUGGGAACUGCCUUUGUGACUGCAUAGCUAGAGUACGGUAGAGGGGGAUGGAAUUCCGCGUGUAGCAGUGAAAUGCGUAGAUAUGCGGAGGAACACCGAUGGCGAAGGCAAUCCCCUGGACCUGUACUGACGCUCAUGCACGAAAGCGUGGGGAGCAAACA